CUCAUCUCGUCGGGUCCGGGAAGGGUUAUUACUCGCGAACGAGACGAGACGACCCGUUCGCAAGUGUCUCAUAAAAAUUCUUAGCCGGUUCACGGAGGCUUUUUACGGCUUCAUCGAGUCGUUUCCACGACCGACACCGUAAUAGCAUUCGGGAGAGAGAAAGAGAGAGAGAGAGAGAGAGAAAGGGAAAGAGAGAGAAGCAGCGAAAGGCGCGCCCCGAGGGCCAGGAAUGAAAAACCGAGGGGUAGAACGGAUGAAUCAAUCGCAAACACAGGAGGGUUUCGGCGUUUCCGCAGUGGAGGGUCACGACACUGGGUUACCGGGUGUAUGCACCCCCUCACUUGAAGCUAGUGCGCUAGUUCGCUCUUCACCCAUCGAAAUUCGGCUCGCGAGGCUUCGAUGUGCCGCUCACGAGGACACACACGCACGCACACGCGGUGCAUCGUUCCACGAUUGGUUAGCGUUUAAGAUUUUCACCUGUCAAUCUAUGGACUGAUAACUUUCCCCGCUAAAAAAUAUCGAGACACCUGUUUCGAUGGAGAAUAAAAUAAAAGGGACGUCUGAUAAAUGAGGUUUCGAGGAAAAAGGUAUAGACGAUAGUAGUAUCAAAAUUUUUCGUCGAUUUUAUGUAUAGAUUUUGGUUUGGGCUGAAUUUAAAUUUGUAUCUUUGUAAUAAAAAUAUGUAAUACACGAGA